UUACGAUCAUAUCAUGUUAAAACACUAGUUCCCAUACAAUCACCAAAGUUAAGCAACAUCGAGUCUGGUCAGUACCUAGAUGGGUGACCACUUGGGUAUACCAUGGGCUGUAAG